AAGGGUAUAGCUCAGUGAUAGAGCAUGUACUUAUCAUGCACAAGGUCCUGAGUUCAAUCCCCAGUACCUCCA
rnacentral:tRNA from 1 species